GAUGAACGCUGGCGGCGUGCUUAACACAUGCAAGUCGAACGGAAAGGCCCAAGCUUGCUUGGGUACUCGAGUGGCGAACGGGUGAGUAACACGUGGGUGAUCUGCCCUGCACUUCGGGAUAAGCCUGGGAAACUGGGUCUAAUACCGGAUAGGACCACUUCUUGGAUGUUGUGGUGGAAAGUUUUUUCGGUGUGGGAUGAGCUCGCGGCCUAUCAGCUUGUUGGUGGGGUAAUGGCCUACCAAGGCGUCGACGGGUAGCCGGCCUGAGAGGGUGUACGGCCACAUUGGGACUGAGAUACGGCCCAGACGCCGACGGGAGGCAGCAGUGGGGAAUAUUGCACAAUGGGCGCAAGCCUGAUGCAGCGACGCCGCGUGGGGGAUGACGGCCUUCGGGUUGUAAACUCCUUUCGCUAGGGACGAAGCGUUUUGUGACGGUACCUGGAGAAGAAGCACCGGCUAACUACGUG
rnacentral:rRNA from 1 species